CAGGGGACACCCUGUGAAUGGCAAGGAUUAUUGCAAUCAGUGGCAGGUGCAUCCCCUGGGAGCUUGUUAGAGAUGCAUAUUCCCAGGCCCCAGACUCACCAAACCAGAGUCUCUGGGCGGAGCCCACCUGUCCGUUUUAACAAUUCUUCCAGGGGAUUCCGAAAUCCGCACCUUCAGUAUCACUCAGCUGUGGAGCUCCUUCUGCCUGAGCGUCAGGAUCACCUUCAGAGCUGCAGAUGCACAAGAGUCUGAAUUAAUUGUUUCGGAUGGAGGCCAAGCACUUUCCAAAUCUGUUUUGAUCUUAACUUUUUAAUUUGAAAUAGCUUGAGAUUUCUAGUAAGCAUUGCAAAGAUGGUGCAGAGGGUCCCCACAAACCCAUCCCCUACCUUUCCUAACGCGAACCUCUCAUGUAACAUCUCAUGGCAGGCUCCCUUGAUUAGUAAGAAGAAAUCAAUGUUAGUUCAGUACUAGCAACUAAACUACAGGGGUUCAGAUUUCACUGGUGUCUUCCCUGUUGCAACCUUGCAUUCAGUUGUCCUGUCUCCUUAGACUCCCCUGACCCAUGACAGUGUCUGACUCUCCUUGUCACUCACGACCUUGACACUUGGGAAGAGGUCAGGUAUUUUGCAGAAUGUCUCUCCGUUUGGCUUUGUCUGAUGUUUUCUAUGAUUAUCUGUGGUGAGGGGCCUUGAAAUAGCAGCACGCAGGUGAAAUGCCUUUCCUACCAUGUCCCAUCCUGAAAACAGGACAUUGAGGUGACUUAAGAGUAUUUGUUCCUUAAAGUUCCCCAUCAGGGAAUCAAUCUGACAAAAGAGGUGAAAGACUGCCACAAUGAAAACUAUAGAACACUAAAGAAAGAAAUUGAAAAAGACCUUACAAGAUGGAAAGAUCUCCCGUGUUCUUGGAUAGGCAGGAUUAAUAUUGUCAAAAUGGCCAUACUGGGUUGGGGUUAUAGCUGAGUGGUAGACUGCUCACCUCGCACGUGCAAGGCCCUGGGUUCAAUCCUCAGCACCACAUAAAAUAAAGUUAAAAAAAAUGGCCAUACUACCAAAAGCACUGUACAGAUUCAAUGCAAUUCCUAUUAAAGUUCCAAUGACGUUCUUCAUAGAAAUAGAAAAAGCAGUCAUGAAAUUCAUUUGGAAAAAUAAGAGGCCCAAUUAGCCAAAGCAAUCCUU
rnacentral:lncRNA from 1 species